CCGGCCAAUCGGCGGCCUGCGGGGGGAAGGGUUGCUCCGCCCCCGAACAGCGAGUUUAAGGUGGCACCGGGGGAGAUGCUGCCGGGCACGACGAGGCGGAGACAACCGCGCGCCGGCUGCUUCCUAAAGGGUCCCCCUGGCUGGGAGGAGGGCCUCCGCCGCUCCGCCUCCUCCUCCUGCCGCUGCCGAGGGGCUGAGCUGCCUUCCUUACCCGGCUCCCUCCUCAACCCAGGAAACGAUACAGCCCGGAGCUUUGUACUCGCCUUGAUUUAAUCUGUGCUAUGCGUGGUUACUGAGGCUUCCAGGGAAAGGUAUUUGGCAAUAUGUGGCCUCCUCUUCCUCUGCGCUCCGCUCCCCUUACGGUCGGGUGCUGCAGUGAAAUCAGAAAAAGAAGCCCUUUAUUGGUGACAUCAGCCUCCACCAGAAGGAUUAUAAGGAAUGUGCCAAAUUCAGCCUUGUGAGCUCACUGCAAGGAGAACCAAGUAGAUACACAUGAUGGGCUGGGAAGGAGCCAACCUUCCCUUUCAACAUAAACAGCUUCCCAAAGUGGAAAGAGGAGGAAGAUGACUGCCGAAAGAUAGGAAUGUAUGUUUGGGACUGGGAUAUUUACAAACCUAACCCCAGCUUUCUGAAGAUUCUCUUAAUUAAAUGUGACUAAAUAUGAUGGACAUUUUUCAAGUAUAUCUGAAACCUGAUCUUGCCAUGCCUUGUUCCAUUUUAAAUCCCCUUAAUGCCAUGCUGGCCUACUCCUCUUCCACUGGGAGGAAAAAUACUGAGCAAACUUUCUGGGUACUUGCACAACAUGGAUGCGGUUUCGUACCUCAGCUGCCAAAUCCUUGUGCAACACUGGGCCCACUGCUGUAUCAUGCCACAGCUGUACAUCUGUAAA